GGGUUGUGAGGUUAAGCGACUAAGCGUACACGGUGGAUGCCCUGGCAGUCAGAGGCGAUGAAGGACGUGCUAAUCUGCGAUAAGCGCCGGUAAGGUGAUAUGAACCGUUAUAACCGGCGAUUUCCGAAUGGGGAAACCCAGUGUGACUCGUCACACUAUCAUUAACUGAAUCCAUAGGUUAAUGAGGCGAACCGGGGGAACUGAAACAUCUAAGUACCCCGAGGAAAAGAAAUCAACCGAGAUUCCCUCAGUAGCGGCGAGCGAACGGGGAGGAGCCCAGAGCCUGAAUCAGCAUGUGUGUUAGUGGAAGCGUCUGGAAAGGCGCGCGAUACAGGGUGACAGCCCCGUACACAAAAGCGCAUGUGCUGUGAGCUCGAUGAGUAGGGCGGGACACGUGGUAUCCUGUCUGAAUAUGGGGGGACCAUCCUCCAAGGCUAAAUACUCCUGACUGACCGAUAGUGAACCAGUACCGUGAGGGAAAGGCGAAAAGAACCCCGGCGAGGGGAGUGAAAAAGAACCUGAAACCGUGUACGUACAAGCAGUGGGAGCACCCUUUGGGGUGUGACUGCGUACCUUUUGUAUAAUGGGUCAGCGACUUAUAUUCUGUAGCAAGGUUAACCGAAUAGGGGAGCCGGAGGGAAACCGAGUCUUAACCGGGCGUUAAGUUGCAGGGUAUAGACCCGAAACCCGGUGAUCUAGCCAUGGGCAGGUUGAAGGUUGGGUAACACUAACUGGAGGACCGAACCGACUAAUGUUGAAAAAUUAGCGGAUGACCUGUGGCUGGGGGUGAAAGGCCAAUCAAACCGGGAGAUAGCUGGUUCUCCCCGAAAGCUAUUUAGGUAGCGCCUCGUGAAUUCAUCUCCGGGGGUAGAGCACUGUUUCGGCUAGGGGGCCAUCCCGGCUUACCAACCCGAUGCAAACUGCGAAUACCGGAGAAUGUUAUCACGGGAGACACACGGCGGGUGCUAACGUCCGUCGUGAAGAGGGAAACAACCCAGACCGCCAGCUAAGGUCCCAAAGUCAUGGUUAAGUGGGAAACGAUGUGGGAAGGCCCAGACAGCCAGGAUGUUGGCUUAGAAGCAGCCAUCAUUUAAAGAAAGCGUAAUAGCUCACUGGUCGAGUCGGCCUGCGCGGAAGAUGUAACGGGGCUAAACCAUGCACCGAAGCUGCGGCAGCGACGCUGAUGCGUUGUUGGGUAGGGGAGCGUUCUGUAAGCCUGUGAAGGUGUGCUGUGAGGCAUGCUGGAGGUAUCAGAAGUGCGAAUGCUGACAUAAGUAACGAUAAAGCGGGUGAAAAGCCCGCUCGCCGGAAGACCAAGGGUUCCUGUCCAACGUUAAUCGGGGCAGGGUGAGUCGACCCCUAAGGCGAGGCCGAAAGGCGUAGUCGAUGGGAAACGGGUUAAUAUUCCCGUACUUGGUGUUACUGCGAAGGGGGGACGGAGAAGGCUAUGUUGGCCGGGCGACGGUUGUCCCGGUUUAAGCGUGUAGGUGUGUGUUCCAGGUAAAUCCGGUUCACUUUAACACUGAGGCGUGACGACGAGGCACUACGGUGCUGAAGCAACAAAUGCCCUGCUUCCAGGAAAAGCCUCUAAGCAUCAGGUAACAUCAAAUCGUACCCCAAACCGACACAGGUGGUCAGGUAGAGAAUACCAAGGCGCUUGAGAGAACUCGGGUGAAGGAACUAGGCAAAAUGGUGCCGUAACUUCGGGAGAAGGCACGCUGACACGUAGGUGAAGUGAUUUACUCAUGGAGCUGAAGUCAGUCGAAGAUACCAGCUGGCUGCAACUGUUUAUUAAAAACACAGCACUGUGCAAACACGAAAGUGGACGUAUACGGUGUGACGCCUGCCCGGUGCCGGAAGGUUAAUUGAUGGGGUCAGCGCAAGCGAAGCUCCUGAUCGAAGCCCCGGUAAACGGCGGCCGUAACUAUAACGGUCCUAAGGUAGCGAAAUUCCUUGUCGGGUAAGUUCCGACCUGCACGAAUGGCGUAAUGAUGGCCAGGCUGUCUCCACCCGAGACUCAGUGAAAUUGAACUCGCUGUGAAGAUGCAGUGUACCCGCGGCAAGACGGAAAGACCCCGUGAACCUUUACUAUAGCUUGACACUGAACAUUGAGCCUUGAUGUGUAGGAUAGGUGGGAGGCUUUGAAGUGUGGACGCCAGUCUGCAUGGAGCCGGCCUUGAAAUACCACCCUUUAAUGUUUGAUGUUCUAACGUGGACCCGUGAUCCGGGUUGCGGACAGUGUCUGGUGGGUAGUUUGACUGGGGCGGUCUCCUCCUAAAGAGUAACGGAGGAGCACGAAGGUUGGCUAAUCCUGGUCGGACAUCAGGAGGUUAGUGCAAUGGCAUAAGCCAGCUUGACUGCGAGCGUGACGGCGCGAGCAGGUGCGAAAGCAGGUCAUAGUGAUCCGGUGGUUCUGAAUGGAAGGGCCAUCGCUCAACGGAUAAAAGGUACUCCGGGGAUAACAGGCUGAUACCGCCCAAGAGUUCAUAUCGACGGCGGUGUUUGGCACCUCGAUGUCGGCUCAUCACAUCCUGGGGCUGAAGUAGGUCCCAAGGGUAUGGCUGUUCGCCAUUUAAAGUGGUACGCGAGCUGGGUUUAGAACGUCGUGAGACAGUUCGGUCCCUAUCUGCCGUGGGCGCUGGAGAACUGAGGGGGGCUGCUCCUAGUACGAGAGGACCGGAGUGGACGCAUCACUGGUGUUCGGGUUGUCAUGCCAAUGGCACUGCCCGGUAGCUAAAUGCGGAAGAGAUAAGUGCUGAAAGCAUCUAAGCACGAAACUUGCCCCGAGAUGAGUUCUCCCUGAGACUUAGAGUCUCCUGAAGGAACGUUGAAGACGACGACGUUGAUAGGCCGGGUGUGUAAGCGCAGCGAUGCGUUGAGCUAACCGGUACUAAUGAACCGUGAGGCUUAACCUUACAACGCCGAAG
rnacentral:rRNA from 1 species